GAUGAAGAACGCAGCGAAAUGCGAUAAGUAGUGUGAAUUGCAGAAUUCCGUGAAUCAUCGAAUCUUUGAACGCACAUUGCGCCUUCUGGUAUUCCGGAAGGCAUGCCUGUUCGAGAGUCAUUAACAACCGUUUCGAUCCCUUUCUUUCAGAAAUUACAAAGAGGAAAAGGGUUUGGUUAUGGUGGAGGAGGGAAAGGGAGCGUUUAGCCUGUAAAAAAAGAGGCUGUGUUCCGCCUCCCCCCCAAAAUUGUACAGGCGGUCGUGUGCGCCCACGCCUCGAGGUGUUGUAAAAGCUGCCACGGCACUUUUCACCUGUGCAGUGCGAGAUUGGCCAGCCGGUUUAAAAACCCCUCCAAACAAUCAAAGGUUGACCUCGGAUCAGGUAGGGAUACCCGCUGAACUUAAGCAUAUCAAUAAGCGGAGGA
rnacentral:misc_RNA from 1 species